GGCGGGCGAGUGUGUUUAAUGUUAAAUCUUAUAGCUCAACUUUGAAAUUGCGUUAAAAACUGCUUGUCUUGAGUAUGGUAGGGGUAAAGGGAAUUCCCAGUGUAGCGGUGAAAUGCGUAGAUAUUGGGAAGAACACUAAACAGCGAAGGCACUUUACUAGGCUAAUACUGACGCUGAGAAACGAAAGGUAAGGUAGCGAAACGGAUUAGAUACCCGUGUAGUCUUACCCGUAAACUAUGGACACUAAACGGUAAAUUUUUAAUUUACUGUUAAAGCUAACGCGUUAAGUGUCCCGCCUGGGGAGUAUGCUUGCAAAAGUGAAACUCAAAGGAAUUGACGGGGGCCCGCACAAGCGGUGGAGCAUGUGGUUUAAUUCGACGGUACACGAAGAACCUUACCAGGAUUUGACAUGCUAGAUAGUUGCUUGAAAGAGUAACGUGCCGUAAGGAAUCUAGACACAGGUGGUGCAUGGCUGUCGUCAGUUCGUGUUGUGAAAUGUUGGGUUAAGUCCCGCAACGAACGCAACCCUUGUCUUUAGUUAUUUUCUAAAGAGACUGCCUGUAAUAAACAGGAGGAAGGUAAGGAUGAGGUCAAGUCAUCAUGCCCCUUAUGUCCUGGGCUACACACGUGCUACAAUGGGAAAGACAAUGAGCUGCAAAUCUGUAAAUUUAAGCAAAUCUCUUAAACUUUCUCGUAGUUCGGAUUGUGGGCUGCAACUCGCCCACAUGAAGUUGGAAUCGCUAGUAAUCGCCAGUCAGCUAUAUGGCGGUGAAUCCGUUCCCGGGCCU
rnacentral:rRNA from 1 species